rnacentral:rRNA from 1 species
GAUGAACGCUGGCGGCGUGCCUAAUACAUGCAAGUCGAGCGAACAGAUGAGGAGCUUGCUCCUCUGACGUUAGCGGCGGACGGGUGAGUAACACGUGGAUAACCUACCUAUAAGACUGGGAUAACUUCGGGAAACCGGAGCUAAUACCGGAUAAUAUAUUGAACCGCAUGGUUCAAUAGUGAAAGACGGUUUUGCUGUCACUUAUAGAUGGAUCCGCGCCGCAUUAGCUAGUUGGUAAGGUAACGGCUUACCAAGGCAACGAUGCGUAGCCGACCUGAGAGGGUGAUCGGCCACACUGGAACUGAGACACGGUCCAGACUCCUACGGGAGGCAGCAGUAGGGAAUCUUCCGCAAUGGGCGAAAGCCUGACGGAGCAACGCCGCGUGAGUGAUGAAGGUCUUCGGAUCGUAAAACACUGUUAUUAGGGAAGAACAAAUGUGUAAGUAACUAUGCACGUCUUGACGGUACCUAAUCAGAAAGCCACGGCUAACUACGUG